rfam:Camelus ferus unplaced genomic scaffold scaffold909, whole genome shotgun sequence.
GGGUAUAUAGCUCAAGUGGUAGAGCACAAGCUUAGCAUACAAACGGUCCUGGGUUCAAUCCCCAGUACUUCCU